GAUGAAGAACGCAGCGAAAUGCGAUAAGUAAUGUGAAUUGCAGAAUUCAGUGAAUCAUCGAAUCUUUGAACGCACCUUGCGCCCUUUGGACAUUCCGAAGGGCAUGCCUGUUUGAGUAUCAUGAACACCUCAACUCUCACGGCUUGUCCGUGAUGAGCUUGGACUUUGGGGGUCUUGCCGGCCUGUGGUCGGCUCCUCUCAAAUGGAUCAGCUUGCCAGUGUUUGGUGGCAUCACAGGUGUGAUAACUAUCUGCGCUUGUGGUUUUCCAUCAGAUAACCUUCAGUGAUAUGGAGGUUCGCUGGAGCUCACAAAUGUCUCUCCUUAGUGAGGAAAGCUCUUUGAACGUUUGAUCUCAAAUCAGGUAGGACUACCCGCUGAACUUAAGCAUAUCAAUAAGCGGAGGA
rnacentral:misc_RNA from 1 species